ACCCCCAAAUAUGAGCGGACUAGCUAAGAUCGUCGUCGUCCUCCUGCUCACUCGCCUCUUCAUGUUCGUCCUGCUCGCCCUACUUGUCAUGCUCGUCUUGAUCAUCCUGAUCGAUCUCUUCCUGAUCGUUGGACUAACCACAUCGGCCACGCUCGCUCGCUCGCUCGAGCAGGCCAAGAAAUCGUCAGUCUCUCUCUGACUCAUCAUUUACAAAUUCCAUUUGUUGUUUUGAUUAUGUGAAAUCUGGAUUGCUUUGAUUCUGUGAAAUCUGGGUUGGUCUUAUGCUGCGAAAUUGUUUGUUCUUCAAUGAUUGCUGCUUCUGGGUAUUCUAUGAUGUAGUUGUACGAAUUUGAUUUCUGCUUCUGUGAAAUUGCAAAUUCCAUUUGCUACCACUAUAAGUUAAUUCAUCUGUGUCUCUUGAUUCAGUCUUUGACUCCUGAUACAUUGUUUAGGUGGCUUUUAACCUCCUGCAUGACAGACAUGCACUCCCUCUGUCUCGCUGUCUCUCUUAUUCAGUUAUUCUGGUUCACACUUGACUCAUAUUUGAUGUUUUGUUUUGGUGCUUGAGCAUAAACUUUUGGUGGGUUGAUUGCUUCGCAAUUGAAAUUGAUUUUGCAUGGGGUGAGGUGGGGGGUGGGUUUUCUGUCUGUCCCUUUGAUUGAUUGAACUAGAACUAUAUAUCCAUCGUCAAAAUUCAAGAGAGAUAGAGGAUAUAAUUUGUAUUUAAUUUGGUCCGUUAUAUUAUUAGUAUAUGAUGCGUUUGUAUUGAUCAAGUUGAAUUUGGGUGGUUUGGUAGAGAGUGCGAGAGAGAGAAGUAGUAGUACAAGUGUUUUCGGCGCAAUGUCACUUUCUAUCGGCAUGGUCUGUAUCCAAUCCAACGAUGAUAUUGAUAUUUGAAUAUUUGAUUGCAUUUCCCUUCAAUUUAAUUUAAUCCAAAUUACAAUCCGGAUUGAUGCUUCUCCGAUUCUCCUCUCUUCUCCUCUUGUCUUUACAUUUUGAUUUCCACCUACAUAUUCUUCCAUUCAUUCCUUCCUUCAUUCAAACAUGCCUCUUUUCUUUCUAUAAUUAUAUCUCCUGCUUGCAACUUUCCAUGUCAUGAAAUUUCAUUUGGAUUUGGGUGGCAAUUUCCUUUCUUCUUCUCGUUGUUGUUGUUGUUGUUGUUGUUGUAUUGGGAGGCUGUUCGUUCGUGUUGCCAUUGGCAAAUGAAGCUCGAGUAUUUAGACAUUUGGCUGCCUUACUUUUCUGGGACAAGGACUAGAGGUUUGUAGCUGCCUAAACCCCAUGAUACAAUGAUGCUUUGUUUCUAUUACUCUGCAUUUCUUCUAUUCUAUUUCAUUUUGAAUGUAUAUCACUACUACUCCGUUGGCAUGACAUUUUACUUGAUUUUAAAGGCUUCGAAUUUGAUUCCAAAAACCAUUGCUUUGCGGUUGCCGUUGUAAUCAUUCAAAUUUUGUUAAUCAACUUGCUGUCUAAUAUGUUUUCUAGUUAUCUGAUGGAAGACCAAUAAUAAGGAAAUAAAGAAUUGAAAAGAAAUAGUUACAUGUGAUGGAUUUAAAUUCCCUUGCUUUCCUGCACACCUUCGUAGAUUAUCAUCUUCAGCGUUUUGUAUCCUCUGGAUUCCAGGUUCCAAUGCAUGAUAAUUCGUUUUACAACAAUACUACCCAUAGUUGAAGUGGUUCCCAUACCAAAUGUCAGCGUCUCUUGCAGCAAUACUAGGAGGUGUUGCAGGAGCCGUGACUUUGGUGGGGAUCAGUAUCAUACUCAUAUGGUUCUGUAUAUCUUGCAAUAGGAAUGUUUCAAGAACUUCUGAAAUUGGUUCUUCAGGUUCUGGUCGUAAGUUUGAAUCAGUUUUUUUUCUUCCUUACCAACUUUUCUUGCUGAUGAAUUUGAUCGACUCGUGUGAAAGAUACACUUCCUGCUGAACCACAACGAAGAAAUGGAAGGUAUGCACCUUUAUUAGCUUCUGUCUUGGGUUGAUGUUUUGUUGCCGUUGAUGAGGAAAUGCACCAGAAUGAAGUGCGGAGUCUGCGGACUAUACUAAUACACCAAGUUAGAGAAAAGCAGCAGCAUUGGUGAUGUUUUAAUCAGCAUUCUCAGUAAGUGUACAAAGAAGCACAAUUCUUGGAGUUGCUUCUUUGGGGUAAUUGUUGUGUUGGUUGUGCCAUGAAUGUAUCGUUCAUGUUGUAUCAUAGUCAUUGUUUGAUUCAAUUGUUGUAAGUUAUUCUUUGGACGAAAUCGUUAAACAGGAGUUGUAAAAUUCAAUUGUUUUGUAUGGAAAGCUACGCUCAAAGUGCAAAGGAUGUCUCUCUAUCAAAUUUAGCAAAGUCAGAUAGUGA